GUGUUUCUGUCCACACAUGUGCCUAAGAACUUAAAAGGGCGAGUGAUUGAAGUUCAUUGCUGCCAUUGAGACAUUAUUUUUUUGGGGGUGUAUCUUGGUAAAGACCCCACUCCCAUGCUUACAAACCAAGAGCUUUGUGCGUUGUGCACACCAUUUUCUGUAGAUCUUCAAGUGUAGCCUGGGGAUGGUCCAUUAACAGGAUUGUCCACUUUUUUGGGGGAUGUGGUUCACAUUGCCUUGUUGUCCACUCUCUUACUCCUGAGCAAGUGACUGACUGGCAUAAAUCGAUCCCAUCAAACUGUGCAAGUGCACAAAAAAGUGCACAAAAAUGUUCAUAUAAUGUUACUUGUUUGUUGUUGACUCUGUUAUGGCAUAUAUGUAUCUCUAAUAUACACCUAUACACAAGUUAAAAGUAUUUGGACUUCAAACAAGCACUUGGGGCUGCUACUUUUUUUUAUUAUUUUUGAAAUGAUUUUCCUGUAGUUUUUAGUUUCAUUGCCACCAUGUGAAGUGUGUUGUGUCUUUUUACAAAAAAAUAUUGAAUGUAUUCCAAAAAAGGUGAAAAAUCAAAAAACAGUGAAGCCGGAUUUGUUUUUUCUUUUAUAAUUCAACGCAAACAUGGAAGUGUAGUCAGACUUGGGAAUGGAGCGAAAGGCAACUUUUUCAAAAACCUGUUCAGCAAGCAGGUGGAGGAUCAAGCUGACUACCACCAGAAGACACUGCCUCUACAAUCCUGUUCAUAUGGACAUUAUGACUAUGAUGAUGAGAGAGAAAAAAAUAUAUAUAUAUUCCAUACUGGAGUUUUGGUUGUUUACAGAAAAACACUUGGACUUUGAUGGGUGUGCAUUUCCCUUUUUUGGAGGGUUGGAUUUAGAAACAUUUGGGGAGGCGGUGCUGUAAUCACAUGACAGCUCUUCCCACUCCCUUGUUGUGAAAUGGGUGCGGCAUACAGAAAGUCUCCAUACUUGUGACUUUGGGGAUUGGGUGCUGAGACAAGCAGUUUAUUACAAAGCUGACCAUAUUUUGUUUACUGAAUUUUUGUUUUGUUUACUUUUUGCCUGUUUUUUAUUUUUUUCACAGUGGAUUUAAAUACUUUUUCAUCCAGAGGAAAAAAAAGUGUUCCUGGGGAGGGUAAAAAAUCAAAAACAGCACAGACCAUUUUUUUUCGGUACCUUGAAAUGAUGCACGAAUGAUGCGAUUGUUGAUGCUUUAAGAGCUUUCUUCCCCAGAAUAUCUAGAACUGGCCUCUUAAGUUUGAAUUAUUUCUCUCUUUUUUUUGCUUUUAAAAAGUUUAAAGACAGUACAAAGAUGGACAUGUCUUUGACGUGUUGGAAAGUACAGAAGAACAUGAGGGACAUUCAUGACCUCAACUCUGUCCUCAUAACCUGGGGACUGUAUUUAGCCUUUCUGUUUCCAUGUGGGCGAAGGGAGUAUCCCAGCAGUUGAUGUCUGAUAACGAGAGAACGAUCACUGCCUCGAUGCUCUCACUAUGCACUUUUAACACACUCAAAACUGUGAGGAACCUGUGAGGACACGUAGACAAAGACAGAGGGUGCUGUUGAAGCUUUGGCUCCAGCUAAAGCCCCUCCAGUGAGAAUCUAAACAGGCAUGUUGUUCCCUCCUUUUGGACAUGUAUAUAAGUAAUGCUGUGGGUUUUUCUUUUGUCUUCUUAACUCAGCAAUUCUUUGGACUGAACAUAAUCUUCAUCACACACCAAUGAAGUAGGCUAAUAAGACAUCAGACAUUUUGAAUGUUAAAAACGUUUUACUCCACGUUCUGCCUUUUGGAGAUUUCCUGUGGAUGCACUCAAAGCAGGAAAGGACAUUUAUAAAUUGCUUGUUCCUGGCUGACGAACAGAGACUGUUUCUGUGGAUUCUGCAUUUGACUGAGGAGUAAACAAGUAUUGGAGGAGAUGAACAGAGCUUCUGCACAGCUAUGGCGUCAUUUCAGCGCGAAGUUGCCUGUGACACUACCAGCAGAACUGUCUGUCCGGCCGAUAUACCAGAGCUUCGGCAAGGACAGUGGCUGGCUUUUCCUUUUUUUUUUUUUUCUUUUCCUCCUAAUCUCAUCUUUUUCCUCUCUUUCUCCCGGAGGAAGACCACAGACCCUACCUGCUCUUAGAUGUCACCUCCUUUCCUGAAUGGUGUGAAGUGACUGAACUGAUAGGAGUGUGAUCUACCUCCAUGGCUUUCUGGCUUCCUCAAUAGGUGAUCAACUUCAUCGUUGUGUGCCUAAGCAAAGAGCGGGAUACUGGAACUCUGGAUUUAUUACUCAACACCUGUACAGACUAUUAAAGCCCUUAUUGCAUACAUGGCUAACACAAACAUACAUUGAGGUCUGCUGAGCACACAUGCAAGCCGGAUCAUCAUCCAGUAUCAAACACAAACUUCCCUUCCCUCAGCUGCUGUCUUCAUUAAAUUGUAUUCAAAAACAGACUUUCAUACUCCUGGCUACCCUAAACUUUAUAUGCUAUUACUGCUUUUCUCUGUUGUGUUCCCCCCCCCCCCCCCCCCCUUUAGUACAUGCCUUAACUGUACAGAUAAGACUGUACUUUAAAAAAAAAAAAAAAAAGAAAAGAAAGUGUUUAACCUGUUUAGUUAACCUGAAUUUUUUUCCAUGUUUAUUUCUGAACUAAACGAGUCAUUAACUUGAUCCAGAGCUUUGGCUGAGGAUUAAGCUUGGUGUGUGAUCUAAAAAUACCAUCAGGCCUAAAUUAACAUAGAAAAACUCAUUCUUUCAGUUUAGAUAGAAUCUGGCUAGGUCUAACUAAAUAGUUUAAGGCUUUUUUAUGUUACAGAAAACACAACAUGGUGAAAAAUUAAGGUGUUGUUUUAAAGACAUGUAGAUUGAAUUGAUGAGUGAAUUAUGUAGUGGAAUUAACUGAAAUUACUGUCUAACUUUUGUGGCCCUUUUUUGGUAAUUUUUGUCAAGGCUUUGAGCUGCAUGCAAAUUUAACAGCGUCUCAUUGCUAUUAAAUUAAGUCAUGCCAUAAUGAUUUCUCUGACAGAAUGGUUCUGAUUUGUAAUGGCUAUGGAAAUAAUUGGAGUUCUUACAUGCAUGAUGUCCUUUAAGGGUGAUUAAUUAAAUAGAGGAUGAUCAGAACAAUGGAUAACUAAGCCGGAGUUGUCCUGUUUGUAAAAGAUGUAUCCUUAAGGACAAAAGUUGGAGAUACACGUACCCAUGUUAGCUGUGGGUUUAAUCAUAAUUUGUCAGAAAAAAAUAAGACUAUCCUCUGGGGGGGGAAAAAAAGUUAAUACCUACAGGAAAAGCUAUUUUUCAGCUCCCAUAGUUAUAGUAAAAAAGG